CUACGGGCUGCACCAGUGAGGAAUAUUGCACAAUGGGGGGAACCCUGAUGCAGCAACGCCGCGUGGAGGAUGACGCAUUUCGGUGUGUAAACUCCUUUUAUAUGUCAAGAAAAUGACGGUAGCAUAUGAAUAAGCACCGGCUAACUCCGUGCCAGCAGCCGCGGUAAUAAGGAGGGUGCAAGCGUUACUCGGAAUCACUGGGCGUAAAGGACGCGUAGGCGGGCUUGUAAGUCAGGUGUGAAAUCCUACAGCUUAACUGUAGAACUGCACUUGAAACUACGAGUCUAGAGUAUGGGAGGGGGAGAUGGAAUUAGUGGUGUAGGGGUAAAAUCCGUAGAUAUCACUAGGAAUACCUAAAGCGAAGGCGAUCUCCUGGAACAUAACUGACGCUAAGGCGUGAAAGCGUGGGGAGCAAACAGGAUUAGAUACCCGAGUAGUC
rnacentral:rRNA from 1 species